UAGGCUACUGCCGGCGGAAGUACUGAUGGAGGUUUUGGCCAGCGAUGAGCUUAAUGUAAAAAAGGAGUGUCUUGUGCUGAAGGCCAUUGCCCGCAGGGCAGGACCCAACUCUGAAACAACAUCGCAGCUAGACGUUGCAACAGUGUUGUCAGAAGUUCGAAUUGGGCUCAUCACCAAAACGCGUUCAAGUCGAACUAUGAUAUUAGGCUACUGCCGGCGGAAGUACUGAUGGAGGUUUUGGCCAGCGAUGAGCUUAAUGUAAAAAAGGAGUGUAUCGUGCUAAAGGCCAUUGCCCGCUGGGCAGGACCCAACUCUGAAACAACAUCGCAGCUAGACGUUGCAACAGUGUUGUCAGAAGUUCGAAUUGGGCUCAUCACCAAAACGGAAAAGCAAGCAUUUGAGGAACGGAACCAAAGCGCUUGUUCAACGACGGCUUACAAGAGUGCGGUGAGCGAUGCAUGGAAUCGUGGCCCGUGUAUGUGCUUCUUGCAAGAUCCACAAGCAGAAUCAGGCCACCAUGCAGCAGACUUAAUCACGGAUGCACUGCACAAAGGCAAGGUUUUCGCCUCGGUUGGCUACAUCUGGCCAAUCUCCGAUGCGGACAACGCAUGGCCGCGCUAGGUGGAUACAUCUAUGUGGUCGGUGGAUUUGAUGGCAGAAGACGCCUCGAAACAGUGAUCCGCACCGAAUCCGGACACAGUCGAUGGCAGCGCUGUGGAGACCUCCUCACUGCAAGAAGCGCUUUCGCUGGCUGUGUUGGUGGAUAAGCUUUUUGCUAUUGGUGGCCGUGGUGGUGAUCGACACACUGGCCAGCGAAAAUUCUUACGUCUAUCAUCAAGUUCUGGACUCCAUGAGAAUGACCCUACAUGAUAUCAUGAAAAUAAAAUACUGUCUUUCUUUGUU